rnacentral:rRNA from 1 species
CACACACACACUUGUGCACACAUUUGUAGGUCCUCGAGAGAGGAUCUAUGUCUUUCACCAUCCCAACCAACGUAUGUCUAGAAUGUCAAUAAUAAAUUACAACUUUCAGCAAUGGAUCUCUUGGCUCUCGCAUCGAUGAAGAACGCAGCGAAUUGCGAUAAGUAAUGUGAAUUGCAGAUUUUCAGUGAAUCAUCGAAUCUUUGAACGCACCUUGCGCUCCUUGGUAUUCCGAGGAGCAUGCCUGUUUGAGUGUCAUUUCAUCUAUCAACCAUGGCCUUGAUUGACUUCGAGAACAUGGCUUGGAGUUUGGGGGCCUGCUGGCGGACCUCGGUCGUCAGCUCUCCUGAAAUGUAUUAGCGAUAGUCGAGCAUAAUGGGUCCCCAACAUGCACGGCCUUUUUCGACGUGAUAAUGAUCGUCGUCGGGGCUGGAGUGGUUUGGAUUCACGAAGUUUCGCUUCCAAUCCCUAGUGCUGUUUUCAUUAACACACGUUUUCGAACCAUGACCUCAAAUCAGGAGGACAACGAC